rnacentral:rRNA from 1 species
UGCGUAACACGUAUGUAACCUACCCAUAUCAGGGGGAUAGCCUCUCGAAAGAGAGAUUAAGCCCGCAUAAAAUCACAGGAUAGCAUUAUCUAAUGAUCAAAUAUUUAUAGGAUAUGGAUGGGCAUGCGGAACAUUAGCUAGUUGGAGAGGUAACGGCUCACCAAGGCAACGAUGUUUAGGGGAUCUGAGAGGAUGACCCCCCACACUGGUACUGAGACACGGACCAGACUCCUACGGGAGGCAGCAGUAAGGAAUAUUGGUCAAUGGGCGGAAGCCUGAACCAGCCAUGCCGCGUGCAGGAAGACGGCCCUACGGGUUGUAAACUGCUUUUAUACCGGAAUAAACCUCUUUACGUGUAAGGAGCUGAAUGUACGGUAAGAAUAAGGAUCGGCUAACUCCGUGCCAGCAGCCGCGGUAAUACGGAGGAUCCAAGCGUUAUCCGGAUUUAUUGGGUUUAAAGGGUGCGUAGGCGGUUCUUUAAGUCAGGGGUGAAAGACGGCAGCUUAACUGUCGCAGUGCCUUUGAUACUGAAGAACUUGAAUCCACUUAAGGUAGGCGGAAUGUGACAAGUAGCGGUGAAAUGCAUAGAUAUGUCACAGAACACCAAUUGCGAAGGCAGCUUACUAAAGUGGUAUUGACGCUGAGGCACGAAAGCGUGGGGAUCAAACAGGAUUAGAUACCCUGGUAGUCCACGCCCUAAACGAUGAACACUCGAUGUUGGCGAUAUACGGUCAGCGUCUAAGCGAAAGCGUUAAGUGUUCCACCUGGGGAGUACGCCCGCAAGGGUGAAACUCAAAGGAA